rnacentral:lncRNA from 1 species
GGAGAUUGAAACAAUGUCAAAUGAUUGUGAAUCCAAGCCUGUACAUUCACCAUUUGCGUGUAUCCACUGGAAUGAGUUUGAUCUCUGAGGACUUGCUUUUUCUUUAUAUUUAGCCACAGCUAGGAAGUAUGGUGAUAGAUCCAGACCCUUUUGGUAUCAGGAAACUUAUCAGCAAGAAAUCUUGUGCUAACACCUACAGAGCAUCCAAUAUCAAGAAUGUCUCUGAUUUUCAAGUUCCCUGAAUACUGUUGAUGAUGUUGCUCAAUAGCAUUGAGCCAGUUUCCCCGAACUAUUUCAUUUGCUUCCUCAAGUGACGAAGCAUCAGGUAUAGCCCGUCUCACCAUUGACAUCGUUGCAGCCUCAGCUUCU